rnacentral:lncRNA from 1 species
AGCCUUCUCUUCUGAGAUGUCCCCGGAGCCUUAGGGCAUUAACCACUGGGGCUGGGUACCCCACAGAAAACAAAAAAACAAAAAAAAACAAAAAAAACGUGGAUAACAGCCCAAGAUGGUAUUUUGAAGUAAGUAGACACCUGGAGAACACAGUCCUCCUGCUACCGGGACGAUGGAUAGACAUCUUCAAUCAAGACAUCCUAAGGACUCCUACGAGUUUAGAUGAAGGAGACUCUCCGGUUGUGUUUGUUUGGAAGGCGACCUCGGUAAGCCUGGAGCUAGAUGUCAACUGACGAGACGCUUCUGAGAGGGACUCAAAACUGCCGACCUUGGGAAUUUGCUCUAGAGGAGAGAAAUUCUUGGCCACUGAGAGAAUGCUGAGAAGACAGGGGAGUGAAAAGAACGUGUCAACAGAGUGAGCCAAGCCCAGGGGACAUGACAGAGUGCCACAAGAAACCAUUGCUCGGUAAAGGACACCUCAGAUGAGAGUGUACAAAAUAUGAUCAUCCCUCAUCACCAGGGGCAGCCCUAGGACCCUUGCCCAGGGUACCACAAUCUUAGGGUGCUCAAGUCCCUUCUAUAAACAGCAAAAUGAAUUAGG